rnacentral:rRNA from 2 species
GAGUUUGAUCUUGGCUCAGAACGAACGCUGGCGGCAUGCCUAACACAUGCAAGUCGAACGAGGCCUUCGGGUCUAGUGGCGCACGGGUGCGUAACGCGUGGGAAUCUGCCCUUGGGUUCGGAAUAACAGUGAGAAAUUACUGCUAAUACCGGAUGAUGUCUUCGGACCAAAGAUUUAUUGCCCAAGGAUGAGCCCGCGUAGGAUUAGCUAGUUGGUGGGGUAAUGGCCUACCAAGGCGACGAUCCUUAGCUGGGUCUGAGAGGAUGAUCAGCCACACUGGGACUGAGACACGGCCCAGACUCCUACGGGAGGCAGCAGUGGGGAAUAUUGGACAAUGGGCGAAAGCCUGAUCCAGCAAUGCCGCGUGAGUGAUGAAGGCCUUAAGGGUUGUAAAGCUCUUUUACCCGGGAUGAUAAUGACAGUACCGGGAGAAUAAGCUCCGGCUAACUCCGUGCCAGCCGCCGCUGUAAC